AUUGAACGCUGGCGGCAUGCCUUACACAUGCAAGUCGAACGGCAGCACGGGAGCAAUCCUGGUGGCGAGUGGCGAACGGGUGAGUAAUAUAUCGGAACGUGCCCAGUCGUGGGGGAUAACGCAGCGAAAGCUGCGCUAAUACCGCAUACGAUCUCUGGAUGAAAGCGGGGGACUCGCAAGAGCCUCGCGCGAUUGGAGCGGCCGAUAUCAGAUUAGCUAGUUGGUGGGGUAAAAGCUCACCAAGGCGACGAUCUGUAGCUGGUCUGAGAGGACGACCAGCCACACUGGAACUGAGACACGGUCCAGACUCCUACGGGAGGCAGCAGUGGGGAAUUUUGGACAAUGGGCGCAAGCCUGAUCCAGCAAUGCCGCGUGCAGGAUGAAGGCCUUCGGGUUGUAAACUGCUUUUGUACGGAACGAAACGGCUCUUUCUAAUAAAGAGGGCUAAUGACGGUACCGUAAGAAUAAGCACCGGCUAACUAC
rnacentral:rRNA from 1 species